GCCAGGCUGGUAUUGAGCUCCUGACCUCAAGUGAUCCGUCCGUCUUGGCCUCCCAAAGUGCUGGGAUUACAGGUGUGAGCCACUGCACCAGGCCAGGGGUAAACCCAGUUCACUCAGGCAGAAGCAAGAGGAAGAACAUUCCUCCAGCUCCUCCUCAUGCAGGCCCGAGAGGUGGGAGGGCAUUCUGCCAGCCCAGUAUAUCCACUUUGCUUCGACAAAUGUCAGCCUGCCCAGAAUAAGGAAGUACCCACAGCCGGGAAAGGUAAAUCCAAACCCUGAAAAGACAGAUACUGAGCAUUUGAAAUAACACAGCUUGCAGCGUCCUUGCGGAGCCCUGUUUAUGGGGCAAUAAACCAUUUAAACGACUGUGUGUUGGAACCCACAAGGUCGCCUUGAAAGGCUUUUCACAGACACUGCUAGUAGGGCUCCAGGACGUCUGGAGGGCCAGGAUGGGGUGUCUUUUUGGCUUCUGCUUGAAGCUGCUGGUUCCCCUCCAUCAGGAACGCCAGCCCCUGGAGAGGCUGCCAUGAGAAAGCCAGUUUCCACGUAAAGAAAUCUAAGCAACUUGCUAGGGAGGCCACAUGGAGACAGUGAAACCCCAGAGGAUGAGAA
rnacentral:lncRNA from 1 species